GACGAAGGGGGCUAGCGUUGUUCGGAAUUACUGGGCGUAAAGCGAGUGUAGGCGGUUGUUCAAGUCAGGUGUGAAAGCCUUGAGCUCAACUCAAGAAAUGCACUUGAUACUGGAUGACUAGAGGACCGGAGAGGAUAGUGGAAUUCCCAGUGUAGUAGUGAAAUACGUAGAUAUUGGAAGGAACACCAGUGGCGCAAGCGGCUAUCUGGACGAGCAUUGACGCUGAGGCACGAAAGCGUGGGGAUCAAACAGG
rnacentral:rRNA from 1 species